UCAGGAAUCUUGGGCAAUGGGCGAAAGCCUGACCCAGCAACGCCGUGUGAGGGAUGAAGGCCUUCGGGUCGUAAACCUCUGUCGGAAGGGAAGAAAGGUCCUUCUUCGAAUAGGUGGAGGGCUUGACGGUACCUUCAAAGGAAGCACCGGCUAACUCCGUGCCAGCAGCCGCGGUAAUACGGAGGGUGCAAGCGUUGUUCGGAAUUACUGGGCGUAAAGCGCGUGUAGGCGGCCAGGUUAGUCGGAUGUGAAAUCCCGGGGCCCAACCCCGGAACUGCAUCCGAUACUGCCUGGCUCGAGUCGUGGAGAGGAAGGCGGAAUUCCGGGUGUAGAGGUGAAAUUCGUAGAUAUCCGGAGGAACACCAGUGGCGAAGGCGGCCUUCUGGACACUGACUGACGCUGAGACGCGAAAGCGUGGGGAGCAAACAGGAUUAGAUACCCCCGUAGUCC
rnacentral:rRNA from 1 species